UGGGGAAUUUUGGACAAUGGGCGAAAGCCUGAUCCAGCAAUGCCGCGUGUGUGAAGAAGGCCUUCGGGUUGUAAAGCACUUUUGUCCGGAAAGAAAUCCUCUGGGUUAAUACCUCGGGGGGAUGACGGUACCGGAAGAAUAAGCACCGGCUAACUACGUGCCAGCAGCCGCGGUAAUACGUAGGGUGCAAGCGUUAAUCGGAAUUACUGGGCGUAAAGCGUGCGCAGGCGGUUUUGUAAGACGGAUGUGAAAUCCCCGGGCUUAACCUGGGAACUGCAUUCGUGACUGCAAGGCUAGAGUAUGGCAGAGGGGGGUAGAAUUCCACGUGUAGCAGUGAAAUGCGUAGAGAUGUGGAGGAAUACCGAUGGCGAAGGCAGCCCCCUGGGCCAAUACUGACGCUCAUGCACGAAAGCGUGGGGAGCAAACAGGAUUAGAUACCCUGGUAGUCCACGCCCUAAAACGAUGUCAACUAGUUGUUGGGGAUUCAUUUCCUUAGUAACGUAGCUAACGCGUGAAGUUGACCGCCUGGGGAGUACGGUCGCAAGAUUAAAACUCAAAUGAAUUGACGGGGUCAUAGCU
rnacentral:rRNA from 1 species